rnacentral:rRNA from 1 species
UACAGAGGUCUCGAGCGUUAGGCGGAAUCACUGGGCUUAAAGCGUGUGUAGGCGGAUCGGUAAGUACCUUGUGAAAUCCCACAGCUUAACUGUGGAACUGCUUGGUAUACUGCCAGUCUUGAGCCAGCUAGGGGCUACCGGAACAAAUGGUAGAGCGGUGAAAUGCGUAGAUAUCAUUUGGAACGCCAAUGGUGAAAACAGGUAGCUGGGGCUGUGCUGACGCUGAGACACGAAAGCCAGGGGAGCAAACGGG